CACGUAGGGUGCGAGCGUUGUCCGGAAUUAUUGGGCGUAAAGAGCUCGUAGGCGGUGUGUCGCGUCGGCCGUGAAAACCUGCAGCUUAACUGUGGGCUUGCGGUCGAUACGGGCAUCACUGGAGUUCGGCAGGGGAGACUGGAAUUCCUGGUGUAGCGGUGAAAUGCGCAGAUAUCAGGAAGAACACCGAUGGCGAAGGCAGC
rnacentral:rRNA from 1 species